UACGUAGGGUGCGAGCGUUAAUCGGAAUUACUGGGCGUAAAGCGUGCGUAGGCGGUUCGCUGUGUCCGAUGUGAAAGCCCCGGGCUUAACCUGGGAAUGGCAUUGGAAACUGGCGGGCUUGAGUGUGGCAGAGGGGGUGGAAUUCCGCGUGUAGCAGUGAAAUGCGUAGAGAUGCGGAGGAACACCGAUGGCGAAGGCAGCCCCCUGGGUUAACACUGACGCUCAGGCACGAAAGCGUGGGGAGCAACAGG
rnacentral:rRNA from 1 species